rnacentral:rRNA from 1 species
AGAGUUUGAUCCUGGCUCAGGAUGAACGCUAGCGGCAGGCUUAACACAUGCAAGUCGAGGGGUAACAGGAAGUGCUUGCACUUUGCUGACGACCGGCGCACGGGUGCGUAACGCGUAUACAAUCUACCUUAUACUAGGGGAUAGCCUUUAGAAAUGAAGAUUAAUACCCUAUAGUCUAUUAAUAUAGCAUUAUAUAAAUAGUAAAGAUUACGGUAUAAGAUGAGUAUGCGUCCUAUUAGUUAGUUGGUAAGGUAACGGCUUACCAAGACAACGAUAGGUAGGGGCCCUGAGAGGGGGAUCCCCCACACUGGUACUGAGACACGGACCAGACUCCUACGGGAGGCAGCAGUGAGGAAUAUUGGACAAUGGAGGCAACUCUGAUCCAGCCAUGCCGCGUGCAGGAAGACUGCCCUAUGGGUUGUAAACUGCUUUUAUAUAGGAAGAAACAUUUCUACGUGUAGAGAUUUGACGGUACUAUAAGAAUAAGACCGCUAACU